UUCCUGAAACAAUGAAAACGAGAAUGAAAUUAGAAUACUCUCUAACAAUAUGCACACCAAAAAACCCUCUAAAUACUUUAAAGACCUAAAUGUAAGGGCAGAUACUAUAAAACUCUUGAGGAAAAUAUAGACAGAACACACUCUGAACAGCAAUUAAAAAAAAUACAUCUCUUAGAAUCAUGAAAUGUAAGCCAAAAAGAAACAAAUGGGACAUAAUAAACCUUAAAAGCAUGUGCACAGCAAAGAACACCAAAGAAGAAAGAAAAGGACAACCCUGAGAAUGGGUAAAAAAUAUUUGUAAAUGAAGAUAAACACCAGGAAUUCAUCUGCAAAACAUACAAACAGCUCAUAUAGUUCACUAUAUAAAAAAGUGCAAUAAAAAAAUGGGCCAAAGACCUAAUUGGAUAUUUCUCUGAAGAAGGCAUACAGAUGGGCAUUAAGCACAUGAGAAGAUGCAUUACUAACUAUAAGAGAAAAGCAAAUAAAAAGCCCAAUGAGGUAUCACCCCAUGCUUUUCAGAGUGGUCAUCUCAAAAAAUCUCCAACAGUCUAUACUGCAAAGGUUGUGGAGGGAAGAAAACCCUCCUGCACUCUUAUUGGGAAUUUAAAGCAGUUCAUGCACUAAGGAGAAUAGUAUAAAGGGCUUUUAAACAACAGAUCAUAGAAAUAAAUGGGACCCAGCACCCUCAUAUCUAGGCAUAGAUCUGGAGAAAACCAAAAAUUUAAAAGACACUUGCACCCUUACCAUCACGGUGGCACUAGGUACCAUAACUGAGACAUGGCAGCAGUCUAUUUGUAGGAGGACAGAUGAAUGGAUAAAGAAGAUGGGGUACAUAUACACAAUGAAAUAUUGCUCAGUCAUGAAGAAUGAAAAAAAUGCCAUGUCCAGCCACAGGGAAGAAAGUAGGCAUAAUUGUACUAAGGGAAGCAAGGGAGACAGGGAAAGAAAAGUAUCAUGUGGUAUCACUUCUAUGUGGACUCUACAGAUGGAUCCAUAUAAACUUCUUUACCAAAGAGAGAUAGCUUUAUAGAUUUAGAAAUUUAUGGUUACCAAAUAAGAAAGGUGA
ensembl:lncRNA